AAAAAUCUUCAAAUGAGAUAAUGAGAUGGUUUUCUCUGUAACUGAUAAGUGGCCCUUUUCUCUUUUUUAAAUUUAUUCUUCAUUUUCCUUUCUGAAUCUAAAAGAAGGGUCAUUUAAAAACUUAAAAAAAAAAAAAAGAAAGGAAAGGAAAUGACAAAAGGACUUAAGUGCUGUAUAUUUAUCUUGUAUCAGUCUUCUUAUAGCUGUAUUCAUCACUCACACUAGGUUAGUCUAGACUGUUCCUGGAGCUGUAGCACUCGCUGGGUUGCCGUAGGAACAAGGAAUUCAAGUAAAUAUGCUCACGGAAAAGAAAUGUCUACUAAUUAAAUGUGGAUAGCAUUGAUAAGUUGCCAGAUCUGGGAGAAUGAAGACCACAAUGUCCUUUGAUGUAAUUCCUUAGAAAAUACGUAUAUAUAUAUAUAUACACAUAGAUAUACAUGAGACAUCCACAAGACUUAUAUAAGAUACACAUUUUUGUGGGGAGGGCUACAUAUGUUGAAGACGGAGACAACAUUUUUAUAUAGAAGUGACACUUUAUACGAUUUUGUUCCUUUCAAGGCUGUAAAUUCUGUAAUCUUGUGCGUAUUUCCUUUUAUUGCAUUUACAUGGCAGAUAAAGACAUUUGGCUCACGGCUGCGAGGGCUGGGAGCCCGGAUUAAUUCCUCACCAAACCUGAGCCCUGUGGCAGGACGAUCCUUCCCUUCCCGGGGUAUCGGGGGGAGGAGGCCCCUGGCCCUGGAGGCCAAAGGAAUUCCGGCUUCACCAGUGGCCAGGAGGGUGCCUAACGUGUGAAUAGGUACAGGAUCAGGCCCUAACACUCCUUGCCUCUUGCAGCUAUGGUCUUCACCCUCUGCCCGCCUGUGUGUCAGGCCCAGCCUGCCCUUUUGGUGCCUGGAAGCCGCGGGCAGCGGUGGGCAGCAGGGUGCAACUUGCCAUUAAUUGUUCCUCUCCCCGCUGCUGGCACUGAGCGAGAUGCAGAUGAGAGGUGGCAGAUCCCUGUUGUGGCGGAGAAGCAUCUGGAAGAAAGACAACCUGAUCUCCGUGCCCCCGACCAUUUACAAUUUAUAUGUCCUUGUCAGGUAGGGAGUUUGAUGACUCUAAUGUCAUGUUUGUCCUUCACCCUGAGAAAAUCUCCUUUUAAAGAUCACCAGCCCAUCUCUAUUGACAGUAACCGUGCAGGUCAUGAUAUUAACAUGUGUUGGAUUUUUCCAAAAUACUGAUCUUCUUUACCCGUAAAGAGAAAGGGGAAAAUAAGAGCCCGUGAUUCACAAGGCAGCCAGGGCUCGGGCCAGGCGCAUCCUCCCAGUUCAGCUGCCUGAACUGACUGACAGAUCCUGCCCUCCUGGCUCCCAGAAAGCUGCACCGUGUUAAAGAGACAAUGAGAGGACAACAGAAGGCCUGUGUUUUGUUGUAUUGUCUCUCUUUCCUCCCUCAUGUUCAGAGCCCGGCAGGAUCAGGUCCAACAGCAAAGAGCACGCUGGCGCUGGCACUGCUGCCCGUGUGCUGCUCCUGUCGUGUCAUCAAGUCAAGUGUUCUUUCAGAAAGGCCACAGCCAAGCACCAUAUGGGCCAUGCAAUCCAGCAUUUCACAGGACACGUCCAACGCCCCUCCACUUCGGCCAGGCCUUGCUGUUGGAGUGGUUGCAGCAUGCAGAAGUUUUGCUGCUUCCGUGAGAAUUUCAGGGAAGCAGGUGCUGGGACCACAUGGAGCCUCUUCUCUGUUUGUAAGUGGUUUAGAAACGAGAAGUCAGAAACACCCGCAGUCAGAAAUUAGCUGAGAAUAGACUUAUUAGGUCUGCUUCCCUGCUGUCCUUGCCCAUGCAGCUUUGUUCUCUCCAGAGAUGGAACAAGUGCCCCACUCAGCAGUUUCAGCUAUUGAGGGGAUGCAGCUUCCACCACGUCCCGUGGGAGACCACCAGGAACGCUCCACAAGACAAAAGUGUUUUGAAUUUCAGCCCAUUGUUUUUUAUUGCUCAGCUCCAGCUCCCGGUGUUCACUUCUCUUUGAACCACUCCGUGCUUGCCUGCUGUGGAGCUUCUGCCUUCCCACACUGCUCUCACCGGGCUGGAUGCAGUGGAGCUGCUUGUGGCACUAAGUUUGAGGAGCGUGGCACACUCUGGACGCUGUGGCAGUGGCAAUCCACUGCUGCUUUUCCAAGCUCUGCUCUCCCCUCCGGGACAUGCCUGGCACAGGGUUUGCUGUCAGCCGCACUCCAGCCCUCACUGGGUGCUUGGUGAGGGUGAUGGCCAUGCUCGUGGGGGCUCGCAGGGAGCAGGCUGCUUCCUCACCCAGCGCACUGCAAUUACAGAGGCUAAUUGAGGGCACACUGCAGCAGCGGGAGGCGCAGGCACGGCGCAGGCAGCGGCAGGGCUUGGUGAGGGGCUGGCGAGGCAGAGGCAGCACCGCCGGGCUCCCGAGCCCUGCUGCCACCUCCCCAGCACCCUGCCCAGCCCAAGGGCAAAGGUAUCCUCAAACCAGGCACUGUGGUGGUGCCCAGCCCCAAUUCCCUCGCUGACAUUGCCUGCAGGAGCACUUGGGAGCACAGGGCUGGGUCUCAGCCUCUGGGACAGACACAGGUCUGUGUGGGCACGUGUUUGUAUGCCAAGGUGUUGGAAACUGGAACAAGCACAGCACUUCUGAACCAGCUCAUUAGUGUGCAGUACAAUGUGCUUUUUCAUCUCUGCAAGUUGCCUUCUCUGGCUAAGGGGUGGCAAAGCACGCACCACAGCCGUGCAGACACAGAGCACACCAGCCUGGCCCCGAGCCUGGGCAUCACACAGAAACCCUGGAUGCACCUCACAGCCAGAAACCCCUCACUGCCAAGGCCUGGUCACCACAGCGCGUGUUGUCUCAAGAAGGAAAAUCCAGAGGUAUUGCAGAGCCUAGGAAUUUGGCUCAUGCUUUUCCUGCAGGACCUGUAGAAGUGUGGCAGCCCAGGCCGUGCUGCUCAGCUGCCACUCCAGCUCUUGGAUGUUUGUGUUUUGUAGCUCCAUCUUUACUCCUUGGAGAGCCUUGGGAAAGGGAGCCCAGUACAAAAAGUCUUCUGAUACUGAAUCUCAAAUGCUUACACGAACCAUGUUCAUCCCCCUUUUGUGUUGUUUUCCAGCACUGUUCCAGUGAUUUCAGGUCAGAGGAAAAUACAGUCACAAUGCUCAUUUCAGAGGAGGCUGUGGAUCUGAGAUUCUCACAUGUGCUUACUUCAGCCGGAGUGCUUAUGCUCUCAUCCUACAAGAGAAGAGAAAUAGUGAUGCAGGAUUUAGCCAACUGCAGUUCAACAAGCCCAUAAAAUUAAGAAGCUUUAAAAAAUUACCAUUAAGAUUUAUAAGAAGUGAAAAGAAAUUUGGCAGAGAGAAAGACGAGACACAUCUUUAACAAAGGCUACCCACCGCCAGCAACCCGUUCAGUGCCAUCGUGUCUUUCAGCACAUGAGCUGAGCACCUCUGUGGUGGGGUUCCCAUCAUAGACACUGAAAAUCAGACAUUUGGGGUGAACCAUCCACAGUCAGUGCUGGGAGAGCAAUUCCACAGUGCCUCCGUGCUGAAGGAGGAUUCCAGGAUGCCCUCGUGAUGCCAGUGCCGUCCUGAUGGACGAGCUCACAGCAGCUGGGCAGCUCGCAGUGGGGUGAGACUGGGGAAAACACUGUGGGCAUCAAGAAAUACCCCAGUCCCCGUAGCAGGCAGCCGUGCAAGGGAGCAGGACGAGGCCAGGGCUGCAGCCCCCGCAGGGCUGGGUGGAGGGCUGGCUGCUCACACACCCCUGCCCUGUCCUGGUGGGGUGCUGGCAUCCAGGGGCUGCCCUCGCCCUACAGGGAGGUUUGCUGAAGAGGUGGGAGGAAAAGAUGUUUGUCUGGGAGUUUGUGAA